GACGAACGCUGGCGGCAUGCCUAACACAUGCAAGUCGAACGGAACUUGAUGAAUGAAGUUUUCGGAUGGAUUUUAGCAAGUUUAGUGGCGGACGGGUGAGUAACGCGUGAGCAACCUGCCUUUCAGAGGGGGACAACAGUUGGAAACGACUGCUAAUACCGCAUAAUGUAUCGGGAUCGCAUGAUCCUGAUACCAAAGAUUUUAUCGCUGAAAGAUGGGCUCGCGUACGAUUAGAUAGUUGGUGAGGUAACGGCUCACCAAGUCGACGAUCGUUAGCCGGACUGGGAGGUUGAACGGCCACAUUGGGACUGACGCACGGCCCAGACUCCUACGGGAGGCAGCAGUGAGGAAUAUUGGGCAAUGGGCGCAAGCCUGACCCAGCAAUGCCGCGUGAAGGAAGACGGUUUUCGGAUUGUAAACUUCUUUUAAGAGGGACGAUAAUGACGGUACCUCUUGAAUAAGCCACGGCUAACUACGUGCCAGCCGCCGCCGUAACAC
rnacentral:rRNA from 1 species